rnacentral:rRNA from 1 species
GGGUUCGAUUCCGGAGAGGGAGCCUGAGAAACGGCUACCACAUCCAAGGAAGGCAGCAGGCGCGCAAAUUACCCAAUCCCGACACGGGGAGGUAGUGACAAUAAAUAACAAUACGGGGCUCUUUCGGGUCUCGUAAUUGGAAUGAGUACAAUUUAAAUCCCUUAACGAGGAACAAUUGGAGGGCAAGUCUGGUGCCAGCAGCCGCGGUAAUUCCAGCUCCAAUAGCGUAUAUUAAAGUUGUUGCAGUUAAAAAGCUCGUAGUUGAAUUUCGGGAUUGACACAUCGGCCGUGCCUUAAGGGGUAUGAACUGGUGUAGUCAAUUUCUCACCUUCUGGAGAACCGCAAUGCCCUUAAUUGGGUGUCGCGGGGAACCAGGACCUUUACUUUGAAAAAAUUAGAGUGUUUAAAGCAGGCAUUUUGCUUGAAUACAUUAGCAUGGAAUAAUAAAAUAGGACGGCAUGAUUCUAUUUUGUUGGUUUCUAGGAUCACCGUAAUGAUUAAUAGGGAUAGUUGGGGGCAUUAGUAUUCAAUUGUCAGAGGUGAAAUUCUUGGAUUUAUUGAAGACUAACUACUGCGAAAGCAUUUGCCAAGGAUGUUUUCAUUAAUCAAGAACGAAAGUUAGGGGAUCGAAGACGAUCAGAUACCGUCGUAGUCUUAACCAUAAACUAUGCCGACUAGGAAUCAGACGAUGUUAAUUU